rnacentral:rRNA from 1 species
CCUACGGGAGGCAGCAGUGGGGAAUAUUGCACAAUGGGCGCAAGCCUGAUGCAGCCAUGCCGCGUGUGUGAAGAAGGCCUUCGGGUUGUAAAGCACUUUCAGCGGGGAGGAAGGCGUUAAGGUUAAUAACCUUGUCGAUUGACGUUACCCGCAGAAGAAGCACCGGCUAACUCCGUGCCAGCAGCCGCGGUAAUACGGAGGGUGCAAGCGUUAAUCGGAAUUACUGGGCGUAAAGCGCACGCAGGCGGUCUGUCAAGUCGGAUGUGAAAUCCCCGGGCUCAACCUGGGAACUGCAUUCGAAACCGGCAGGCUAGAGUCUUGUAGAGGGGGGUAGAAUUCCAGGUGUAGCGGUGAAAUGCGUAGAGAUCUGGAGGAAUACCGGUGGCGAAGGCGGCCCCCUGGACAAAGACUGACGCUCAGGUGCGAAAGCGUGGGGAGCAAACAGGAUUAGAUACCCGUGUAGUC